rnacentral:rRNA from 1 species
AUUGAACGCUGGCGGCAGGCCUAACACAUACAAGUCGAGCGGAUGAUGGGAGCUUGCUCCUGGAUUCAGCGGCGGACGGGUGAGUAAUGCCUAGGAAUCUGCCUGGUAGUGGGGGACAACGUUUCGAAAGGAACGCUAAUACCGCAUACGUCCUACGGGAGAAAGCAGGGGACCUUCGGGCCUUGCGCUAUCAGAUGAGCCUAGGUCGGAUUAGCUUGUUGGUGAGGUAAUGGCUCACCAAGGCGACGAUCCGUAACUGGUCUGAGAGGAUGAUCAGUCACACAGGAACUGAGACACAGUCCAGACUCCUACGGGAGGCAGCAGUGGGGAAUAUUGGACAAUGGGCGAAAGCCUGAUCCAGCCAUGCGGCGUGUGUGAAGAAGGUCUUCGGAUUGUAAAGCACUUUAAGUUGGGAGGAAGGGUUGUAGAUUAAUACUCUGCAAUUUUGACGUUACCGACAGAAUAAGCACCGGCUAACUCUGUGCCAGCAGCAGCCGCCGCGG